AAGUCAUCGCUAUAUUCGUAUCACAUAUAUAUAUUUAGCUCCCACUAGUUUAGAACAGAUAAUGACGCUAGCGGCCAUUUGACGAGAUCAAGGAAAAAAUACUGUUAUUAAAAGAUGGUCUACACAUAAUUUCGGUAGCUGUGGAUAGAGGCACAAAAAGAAAUGGAAUGUUUAGAAAUGGCACUCAAGCUUUUAAGACCAGAAGGAAACCUAUUUAUGGAUUCAAAACAAAUGGUUAUCAAUGGAAAAGAGAUUUCAACAGUUUUGAAACUACAUGACCUGCUUUCAUCUUGCACCAAUCCUACACAAGUUCAACGUUUCAUUAUGUCAGGGGCAUCUAUCAAGAGUUUGCCUCAAUGCAUAGGAUCAUUUGUUAAUAUCACCUAUCUCAAUCUAUCUGGGAACCGGAUUGAAUUCCUACCCUGGUCAAUUGUGUUGCUUAAAAAAUUGGAACAUUUCGACCUAUCCAACAAUUGUAUAUCAGUCAUAUGUCCAAUACUUUGCUACUUUCCAUUGCUACACACACUAGAUUUAAGUGACAAUACCAUAGAGAGUAUUCCAACUGAAAUGUUGAACCUCGAGGCUCUUCAGACAUUAAAUGUAUUGGGAAACAACACCCUCCAAUCGCCUCCACUUCCUGUCUGUCAGGACGGGAAAGUGGCCAUAUUUGAAGCUCUCAGAAUUCGACAGAGCCGUGCAGAUGCAUUUUCCAACUGGAAACCUUACUAUCAAGGAGACAGAACCAACUCAAUGAAAUUGCAGUCUUUAGUGGAAAUUUGUAUUGACAGCAUCAUUGAAAGCAAAAUUGAUUUUCUGUCGGCCGAAAUUCCACCCGUUAUGAAAACAUACUUGGCCGAGACAAAAAAGCAGGAAUCUUCCUUGCUACCAAGUCUUUUCAAAUGUAGCAAGUGUGAGAGAUAUUUUACAAAGAGCUACAUAUUUGAAAAUCAUGACUGCCGCAUUGUCAGUAAAAAUUUGAAUCCGAGAUGAUUAUGAAAUUUAAUUACAUGUGUAUAUUCAUUUUAGCUCUGUAUAUGACUAUAUACAUGUAUAAUGUACAGAGAAAUCAUUAAAUUGAUAUACAUUUACCUGUGAACCAAUGUCAUACAGUACCUUUCAGCAUUUUCUCCCUGUUUUGGUGGGAAAUUCCUGAUUUGGAUAUACAAAUGUAUUAGUUGCCUUGCUUGUCAUUAUGUUCAAAUUUAAUAAAUAAUCCACCAAUCAGAGUAGAUUGUAAUAUGUAUAGUUUAGAGUCUAUUAGUUUAAUUAAAAGCAUUUAUAAAUUUGAUGUGGAAAUUCCAAAACAUUUGCAAGUAUGCAUAUUGUAAGAUGGAUAUGUGUAUGAUUAUAUACUGGCUUUUCAAAUUAAUAGUAAUACUUUUUCUACAAAAACAUCUGGGAUUUCCGAUUGUGAUAAACCCGGGGCAUUUCAUCAUUUACAUGAAAUACAUUUACAGCUAAAUACAACUAGAGCUGUUUAAGGUAUUUUGUAUUUUUAUUAUUUUAUAAUUUUUUUUUAUAAUUCAUUUCUAGAUAAAUAAUAUACAAUGUACAUAUGCAAACAAUAAGUGUCUGUGAUUUAUGACCUUUAAGUAAAAUCAUCAAAUGUUGUAAUAAUAUACGAAAACAAAAGAGUCUUUUUUUUUAUAUUGUCUGGUCUAAAUUCAGACAAACAACCAAAUCUUUUCUAAGCAUGAGCAUAAGCAUUAUAACUCUUCAGAUGCUUAGUAACAUAGCAACAUAAUAAAGAAAAGAACAGGAAAAAUACUUUAUCCAACUGUUUGAGCAAAAAUUGAACAGCCUUUUAUAGACAUUACCUCCCUUUGUAGAUUAUGAUGUCAUGAUUAUGCAGGGGUGAGAUACAUUAUUCUCUUACCCUGGACAUGGAUAUCUGCAGUUUUACCAGGGUGAGAUUUUCUUAUCUCACCUUAGGGGAAAGACAAGCAAUGAUUAUAACAUUAUUAUCUCCCCAUAGAUCACUGAUUAUCAACGAUGUAACAUUAUUAUCUCCCCUUAGAUCAUUGAUUGUAUCAACGAUGUAACAUUAUUAUCUCCCCUUAGAUCAUUGAUUGUAUCAACGAUGUAACAUUAUUAUCUCCCCUUAGAUCAUUGAUUAUCAAUGAUGAUAAUGUUACUAUCUCCCCUCAUAUCAUUGAUUGAAUAAAUGAUGAAACAUUAUAAUUUCUGCUCAAAUCAUUGAUUGUAUCAAUGAUAACAUUAUUAUCUCCCCUUAGAUCAUUGACUAUAGUACAUUAUAAAGUUGUUACCAAGUCAUAAAUGGUAAUCGACUUAAAAUAGGUGAUGUACGACUUAAAAAUGUUAGCAAUAAUCAGCUGUAUUUGAUUUGUUGAUUUUUGAUGUACACACACACAUACACGUAUAUAAUACAAUUUCAUGUCUUUUUUAUACAAAAAUAGUAUAUUUUUAUAUACACACCUAUAUCCUAUUGUUGGUUAAAGGGAUUUGUAAUGUAUCAAUGUUUUGGGAGAGAGAAAAUAUAGUCGGAUCAUAUCUAAAACAAAUUCAUAUAUUCUUUUGAUUCUAGAAUGUCUUGUUAGAUCAUGUAUAAUAAUGAAAAUUACAUUCCAAUCACUUACAAAAAUAACAAUACAUUUCGCUAGACAUGUAUAUAUACAAUGUAGGUUCAUUAGAAUGAUAUUUUCUCAUUUCGUCUAAUCUCUUCUGUCGUGAGUAUAAUAUAGUUUCAGAACAAUAAUGUACAGUGUUUGUAUGACAACCAUUACACACUUCAUUAUUCUAAUUAGUCUCUGCCAUGUAAAAACAAUUUUUAUUUUUUGUCCAUUUCAUUUCUAUGAUAAUUUACAAGAAUUGUUUUUGUCAAAAUACUCAUUUCAUUUUAUCGUCGAUGAUAUGUUCUUCAAGUUGUUGAAUUUAUUAAAACUCAAUAUUACACACAUA